rnacentral:rRNA from 1 species
GAUCAUGGCUCAGGAUGAACGCUGGCGGCGUGCCUAACACAUGCAAGUCGAACGAAGCAUAUCUAACGGAGAUUCGUCGAAGCUGGAUAUGACUUAGUGGCGGACGGGUGAGUAAUGUAUGAGCAACCUGCCUUUCAGAGGGGGACAACAGUUGGAAACGACUGCUAAUACCGCAUAAUGUAUUUGGGUGGCAUCACCUGGAUACCAAAGGAGCAAUCCGCUGAAAGAUGGGCUCAUAUCUGAUUAGCUUGUUGGCGGGGUAACGGCCCACCAAGGCGACGAUCAGUAGCCGGACUGAGAGGUUGAACGGCCACAUUGGGACUGAGAUACGGCCCAGACUCCUACGGGAGGCAGCAGUGGGGAAUAUUGGGCAAUGGGCGAAAGCCUGACCCAGCAACGCCGCGUGAAGGAAGAAGGUCUUCGGAUUGUAAACUUCUUUUAUGAGGGACGAAGGACGUGACGGUACCUCAUGAAUAAGCCACGGCUAACUACGUGCCAGCCGCCGC